GGGGGCGAUCUGGAUUCGACCGGACGUUUUGAAGCGAUGGUUGCAUGUCGUGGUUGAUCAGUUGGCCACGUAAAAAGCUGAUCAAAAUUUUUAGUUGCAGACGAAAGUUUCGCACUGGCCGCCUAAGAACAGGCAGCCCGGGCUGAUGGGGGCCGCCAGAGUCGCCUGAAUGCCCGUCACAAUUCUGGAUCGCUUGCCGUCCUACUCGAGACGCGGUGAGUUAAAAAAGAUUCGAGUUAGCAAAGCUUGGAGCCUGUCAGGCAGCGCCAAGGUGAGCGAAAAGUUUCCUUCGAGGAGACACAAAUAGUUUGACUAAACAUGUAGACGCUGUCGUGGAUGCAUCGCGGGACGCGGGUUCAAUUCCCGCCGCCUCCACUA
rfam:Rhodopirellula maiorica SM1 cSM10683, whole genome shotgun sequence.